rnacentral:lncRNA from 1 species
AGUCAACGUUGCCUUGGCCAGUAGGGUUGCGGCAAAGAACUCUGCCGGAUUUUGAGACUGCUAUUACAGUUCUGAGACAAGCUGUUGUUGAACAGUGUUGAAGCUAAUGAGACUUGUGUCCUGCUUAUUGUCCUCCAGUGCAUGGGCCUUUUGCAGGCAAAGUGCCCCUACACUAUGGGAAACGUAAAAGUGUUUUUCUUAAACGCAGGUGGAAGAACAAGCAGUCACAUUGUCAGUCACAUCUGACACAAAUAACAGCCAGGUAAAUUCUCCAAAUCCGCUUCCCAUGCAAUUCUUCCAGAAUCACAGCUACUUUUGGCUGAAAUUCACAGGAGAGUGCCAAGGCUGCCAUACUGAUCACAAUUCUUAUUUCAGUUAACAAGGACGUUUCCCUGGAGGUUCCUUGGGUUCCAGCAAAAUUCCAUGAACACUCCUUAAAAGCAGAAGUUUCUCAUUCCUACCUAGUAAAAAUGGGAAAUGUAUCUGCUGGAUAUUGUCUCUUGUUGUCCUAAAAGACAUAACACAACCCUAAUAAAACAAAAUGUGAGAAGGUAAGUUGUAGUGCA